rnacentral:rRNA from 1 species
AGCAGCCGCGGUAAUUCCAGCUCCAAUAGCGUAUAUUAAAGUUGUUGCAGUUAAAAAGCUCGUAGUUGAAUUUCGGGAUCAAUUAAUUGGUCGUGCCUCUGGUACGUACUGAUUUUAUUGGUUUCUCCCUUCUGACGAACCAUGAUGUCAUUAAUUUGAUGUCGUGGAGAAUCAGGACUGUUACUUUGAAAAAAUUAGAGUGUUUAAAGCAAGCUAACGCUUGAAUACAUUAGCAUGGAAUAAUGAAAUAGGACGUUUGAUCCUAUUUUGUUGGUUUCUAGGAUCGACGUAAUGAUUAAUAGGGAUAGUUGGGGGCAUUAGUAUUCAAUUGUCAGAGGUGAAAUUCUUGGAUUUAUUGAAGACUAACUACUGCGAAAGCAUUUGCCAAGGAUGUUUUUCAUUAAUCAAGAACGAAAGUUAGGGGAUCGAAGACGAUCAGAUACCGUCGUAGUCUUAACCAUAAACUAUGCCGACUAGGGAUCGGAUGAUGUUAAUUUUUUUAAUGACUCAUUCGGCGCCU